rnacentral:lncRNA from 1 species
GAAUGUAUUUCUGAUUUUAUUAAGAAUAUUUUAUGGGGUCUCUUUAUAUAAGAUACGGACUUGAACAUUGCAUUAUAUGGGGGCACCCAUCAGAUAUUUCCAACCGUGACCUCCAAAACCAAUUGUUAAACUUGUCUAAAAUUGCUCCAUUUGUAAUCUAUUAAUGUAUGUAUGGACCUUCUAUUUCGAAUAUUUUGUAAAAAUAUUUUUGAUGUUUCUCUAUCGUAAAUACGGACUUUGUCAUAACCUUAUAUUGGGCGUACCUAUUUUAUAUCCACAACUUCCUUCAGACACUUGUCAUAACUUAAUGAAUCUUUUUUUUUUCAGAUUCCUUAUCAUUUAAUUCAAUU